UACGGGGGGGGGCAAGCGUUGUUCGGAAUUACUGGGCGUAAAGGGCGCGUAGGCGGCCUGCUAAGUCGGACGUGAAAUCCCUCGGCUCAACCGAGGAACUGCGUCCGAUACUGGUGGGCUUGAAUCCGGGAGAGGGAUGUGGAAUUCCAGGUGUAGCGGUGAAAUGCGUAGAUAUCUGGAGGAACACCGGUGGCGAAGGCGGCAUCCUGGACCAACACUGACACUGAGGAGCGAAAGCCAGGGGAGCAAACGGG
rnacentral:rRNA from 1 species